rnacentral:rRNA from 1 species
GAUGAACGCUGGCGGCGUGCUUAACACAUGCAAGUCGAACGGAAAGGCCCAAGCUUGCUUGGGUACUCGAGUGGCGAACGGGUGAGUAACACGUGGGUGAUCUGCCCUGCACUUCGGGAUAAGCCUGGGAAACUGGGUCUAAUACCGGAUAGGACGAUGGUUUGGAUGCCAUUGUGGAAAGUUUUUUCGGUGUGGGAUGAGCUCGCGGCCUAUCAGCUUGUUGGUGGGGUAAUGGCCUACCAAGGCGUCGACGGGUAGCCGGCCUGAGAGGGUGUACGGCCACAUUGGGACUGAGAUACGGCCCAGACUCCUACGGGAGGCAGCAGUGGGGAAUAUUGCACAAUGGGCGCAAGCCUGAUGCAGCGACGCCGCGUGGGGGAUGACGGCCUUCGGGUUGUAAACUCCUUUCGCUAGGGACGAAGCGUUUUGUGGCGGUACCUGGAGAAGAAGCACCGGCUAACUACGUG